GAUGAACGCUAGCGGCAGGCUUAAUACAUGCAAGUCGAGGGACAGCACAGGUAGCAAUACUGGGUGGUAACCGGCAAACGGGUGCGGAACACGUACACAACCUUCCUUUAAGUGGGGGAUAGCCCAGAGAAAUUUGGAUUAAUACCCCGUAAUAUAGUUGAAUGGCAUCAUUUGAUUAUUAUAGCUACGGCGCUUAAUGAUGGGUGUGCGGCUGAUUAGAUAGUUGGCGGGGUAACGGCCCACCAAGUCUACGAUCAGUAGCUGAUGUGAGAGCAUGAUCAGCCACACGGGCACUGAGACACGGGCCCGACUCCUACGGGAGGCAGCAGUAAGGAAUAUUGGUCAAUGGACGCAAGUCUGAACCAGCCAUGCCGCGUGAAGGAUUAAGGUCCUCUGGAUUGUAAACUUCUUUUAUUUGGGACGAAAAGGGCCUUUCUAGGUCAACUGACGGUACCUGAUGAAUAAGCACCGGCUAACUCCGUGCCAGCCGCCGCCGUAAUAC
rnacentral:rRNA from 1 species